UGUUGGGUUAAGUCCCGCAACGAGCGCAACCCUUGUCAUUAGUUGCUACAUUCAGUUGGGCACUCUAAUGAGACUGCCGGUGACAACCGGAGGAAGUGGGGAUGACGUCAAGUCCUCAUGGCCCUUAUAGGUGGGGCUACACACGUCAUACAAUGGAUGGUACAAAGGGUCGCCAACCCGCGAGGGGGAGCCAAUCCCAUAAAGCCAUUCGUAGUCCGGAUCGCAGUCUGCAACUCGACUGCGUGAAGUCGGAAUCGCUAGUAAUCGUGGAUCAGAAUGUCACGGUGAAUACGUUCCCGGGUCUU
rnacentral:rRNA from 1 species